UACGAAGGGGGGCUAGCGUUGCUCGGAAUCACUGGGCGUAAAGGGUGCGUAGGCGGGUCUUUAAGUCAGGGGUGAAAUCCUGGAGCUCAACUCCAGAACUGCCUUUGAUACUGAGGAUCUUGAGUUCGGGAGAGGUGAGUGGAACUGCGAGUGUAGAGGUGAAAAUUCGUAGAUAUUCGCAAGAACACCAGUGGCGAAGGCGGCUCACUGGCCCGGUACUGACGCUGAGGCACGAAAGCGUGGGGAGCAACAGGG
rnacentral:rRNA from 1 species